GGAUGUGAUGUCUGUUCCACUGCAGAGCUUCUAUGCCCUGUACUGUAAGCCGUUUCAAAAGCCCUGGGCUAGACAGGUUGUAGCCCCCGUGAGGAACUCAGUGUUGCUGAUUUGCUAAAUGACGCCUUCUACAGAGCUGUGUUUAUACGGACAGAACAGUGCUAUUGUUAUCUUGGUGAGAAAAGUUUCCUUUCGCAGUACUCACCAGUGCCUGCAGAGAUUCCUAGCCGUAAGUGUUUAACCAGAAUUGAAACAUCUGUAUCUCUUCCUGGACGCCUUAGAGAACAUCAUGGAAGUCAGGGGAGCAGGAACGCAAGAGGCCGAGGACGUGAUAAGACAGAGACUACGCAAGUCACAAAAUUUCAAAACCUUCUAAACCAUGCUGUGUGGGAGAGCUAUGCAUCUCAUCCUUUGGACCAAAGAGACACAAAACUUCUCCAUGGCCCUCCAACGAACCAUGUUCCUCUUAGGGCUUCCUCAAUGGGCAAGAGGUCCAGUUGUGAGACACUUAACGGAUUAUAGCAGCAGAACCACCCGGCCAGCUCACUGUGGGGCAGUCACCUCACACAUGGACCACGUGCCCUAUGCCCUCUUGGGUCUCACUGCUUGGUGUACAAUGGAAAGCAGGUCCUCCAUGAGCCGCAGACCAGCCUAUGCGUGAGUGAAUGCCAUGUGUGGUUUUCUCAUUCUGCGUCAGAGCUUUGGAAAACAGAGCUCUCAGUUUGUGUUGGAAACAAACUCAACUUUCCCUUGUCAAACGCGAAGGCCCUUUGUCCGUUUCAGAAUCUCCCUUCUUUGAUAAAACUCUGAAUC